UACGAGGGGGGCGAGCGUUGUUCGGAAUUAUUGGGCGUAAAGGGUGCGUAGGCGGUUUGGUAAGUCUUAUGUGAAAUCUACAGGCUCAACUUGUAGUCUGCAUCCGAAACUGGCGAGCUAGAGUACGAAAGAGGAUCGCGGAAUUCCCGGUGUAGAGGUGAAAUUCGUAGAUAUCGGGAGGAACACCGGUGGCGAAGGCGGCGAUCUGGGUCGAUACUGACGCUGAGGUGCGAAAGCGUGGGGAGCAA
rnacentral:rRNA from 1 species